rnacentral:rRNA from 1 species
CACGUAGGAGGCAAACGUUAUCCGGAUUUACUGGGCGUAAAGCGCGUGUAGGUGGUUUGGUAAGUAGGGCGUGAAAGCUCCUGGCUCAACUGGGAGAGGACGUUCUAAACUGCCAAGCUUGAGGAUGGUAGAGGGAGGUGGAAUUCCGGGUGUAGCGGUGGAAUGCGCAGAUAUCCGGAGGAACACCAGUGGCGAAGGCGGCCUCCUGGACCACUCCUGACACUCAGACGCGAAAGCUAGGGUAGCAAACGGGAUUAGAGACCCCGGUAGUCCUAGCCCUAAACGAUGUAGACUUGGCGUCGGUGGUUUAAUCGCCAUCGGUGUCGUAGCUAACGCGUUAAGUCUACCGCCUGGGGACUACGGCCGCAAGGUUAAA